AAUUUUUUGCGGAUAUGUCAAAAUGAUCUUCGCGAAAAGGUGUUGUUUUUAUUGUGGAAUGUAUGGAUUUAUUGUACCACUCGAUACACUUGUUGUUCUAAAUUUUUCAGAUAAUGUGCUGUGCAGCCUUUCUACGUCUGCAUUCCCGGUGACGAUAUGUACAUAUGUAUUUUAUGCGUUUAAGGCGGC